rnacentral:rRNA from 1 species
AGGCUUAUCUCCCCCAAGAGUCCACAUCGACGGGGAGGUUUGGCACCUCGAUGUCGGCUCAUCACAUCCUGGGGCUGUAGUAGGUCCCAAGGGUUGGGCUGUUCGCCCAUUAAAGUGGUACGCGAGCUGGGUUCAGAACGUCGUGAGACAGUUCGGUCCCUAUCCGUCGCAGGCGUAGGAAAUUUGAGAAGACCUGUCCUUAGUACGAGAGGACCGGGAUGGACGUACCUCUGGUGUACCAGUUGUCCUGCCAAGGGCAUGGCUGGGUAGCUAUGUACGGAAUGGAUAAGCGCUGAAAGCAUCUAAGCGCGAAGCCAACUUCAAGAUAAGAUUUCCCACCGCAAGGGUAAGACCCCAGAAAGACUAUCUGGUUGAUAGGUCGAAGGUGUAAGUUCAGCAAUGUAUUUAGCUUAUCGAUACUAAUAGGUCGAGGACUUGACCAAU